UACGUAGAGUGCAAGCGUUGUCCGGAAUUAUUGGGCGUAAAGGGUACGCAGGCGGAUAGUAAAGUCAAGCGUGAAAGGUGUCGGCUUAACCGACAGACU
rnacentral:rRNA from 1 species